rnacentral:rRNA from 1 species
UACGUAGGUGGCAAGCGUUGUCCGGAUUUAUUGGGCGUAAAGCGAGUGCAGGCGGUUCAAUAAGUCUGAUGUGAAAGCCUUCGGCUCAACCGGAGAAUUGCAUCAGAAACUGUUGAACUUGAGUGCAGAAGAGGAGAGUGGAACUCCAUGUGUAGCGGUGGAAUGCGUAGAUAUAUGGAAGAACACCAGUGGCGAAGGCGGCUGUCUGGUCUGCAACUGACGCUGAGGCUCGAAAGCAUGGGUAGCGAACAGG